rnacentral:lncRNA from 1 species
AUUUAUGCCAGUGGAGCCUGCAGAGCCAACCUUGGAGAAGGAAGGAGAGGAGAGAGAGAAAACCAGUCCCAGAGGCCGGAGGGGCAGGAACCAGGAUCAGAGCCCCUGGCAGAGGGCAUCCGUCAGGGAGUGAGCCGACCCCAGCAGCCCUGGACUCAGGGAGCAGUGCCCAGGCCUUGGGAAAACUGAGGCUACCCUGGUGGGUGCGGGAGCUGAGUCUGCACAAACGCCUCUGCUCA